UACGUAGGGUGCGAGCGUUGUCCGGAAUUAUUGGGCGUAAAGAGCUCGUAGGCGGUUUGUCGCGUCUGCUGUGAAAACGCGAGGCUCAACCUCGCGCCUGCAGUGGGUACGGGCAGACUGGAGUGCGGUAGGGGAGAUUGGAAUUCCUGGUGUAGCGGUGGAAUGCGCAGAUAUCAGGAGGAACACCGAUGGCGAAGGCAGAUCUCUGGGCCGUAACUGACGCUGAGGAGCGAAAGCCGUGGGGGAGCGAACAGG
rnacentral:rRNA from 1 species